rnacentral:lncRNA from 1 species
UAUCAAGGGGGCCAGAGCUUUCCUUGCGAUCUCCGAAAUUGUGGAGAGGAAAAGUUGAGCUCUGUUUGCUGAUGGGGCGUUGAAAUGGUCUACGGGAAAAGGGAACGGAGACAAGUUCUUGGCAGGGUUUAUCACCUGCCUCUCCCAGCCCCAGCUUCUGGCAAGCACGAUUAGAAAUUGACUCCUCUCCUCCAAGAUUGCUAGCUUGCUUGCUGCACGCUGCCUCUCCGUAGUUAAUUCGCCAUCUCUCACACGUGUUAUCCCCAAAUCACAGAACUCAUUAGAAAUCAACAGCAUGAAUUUGGUCAGUCACAUUUGCAGGAUUAGCCAGAUGUAAAUCUGAGUUGCAGUUGGGAGGUUUCCUGUGUGUCAUUUAAAAAUAAAUAGACCUCUAGCUUUGAGUAGAAACAGAUUAAAAAAGGAAAAAAAAAAAACCUGACUUUGUGGAAAACACAUUUUAUUUUUCCAGUUUAAAAAGAAAUGGGUCGGAGGGAAGGUUUUUUUCUUUUCUUUGACAUCACUGCUUGGUUUAAGUCAUGUUCUUUUCAUCUCCCUGCUGCUUGCAUUUGGGGUAGAAAUAAAGUCUCAGUUUCACCUCCCAAGAUGAGGAAGUUUAACCGUUGGUUCAGGAAAUGAUUUGUAACUGAUAGCAGAGGCCUGAAGCCUGACUGGAGUCUGCCUGGUGAGACAGGCCCUCACCUCAGCUGCUCAGUAGGUUGAGACAGGAGGGUCUCAAGUUCAAGGUCUAAGCAGGCGUUAGAGUGAAUUAGUUCAACACCAGCCCGGGUAACUUAGCAAAACCCUGUCUCAAAUAUAAAGUUAAAAGAGGGCUGGGGAUGUAGCUCCAUGGUCCAUGCUCGCCUUGCCUGGGCCAGGGCCUGGGUUCUAGCCCCAGCUUUUCAAACAAACCAAACAAAACAAAAUCUACCUGUGUGGUCUCCAGCAACUGUUUCCUUCUGGGGAAAUAAACACACAUUUUUGUGUUUCCCAUACCACUUGGUGGAAAAUCCUUACCAUACAAGAGGUUAUUUAGGUUGUAUUGACCUUGACCGUGUUUGAUUUUUCUUGCCCUUUGAAACAACACAUUUCUCACAAAGAGAAACUGGAAGGAUGGAGUUUUUAUUUCCACGUGAUUACAACAUAUGAUUUAUGUGAUUAGAAAAUUUCUGUUUUCUGUUGAUAUGCAAAUUUCCUGCCAGCAGUCCUGAAUAUCACAUGCCACCUGUUUCUAAUUCCACAAAACCUGCAAUCAGAAAGAAUGC